UACGAAGGGGGCUAGCGUUGUUCGGAAUUACUGGGCGUAAAGCGCGCGCAGGCGGUCUUCCAAGUCAGUGGUGAAAGCCCGGAGCUCAACUCCGGAACUGCCAUUGAAACUGUUGGACUUGAGUACGAGAGAGGUGAGUGGAAUUCCCAGUGUAGAGGUGAAAUUCGUAGAUAUAGGAAGGAACACCAGUGGCGAAGGCGACCACCUGGACUGAUACUGACACUGAGGUGCGAAAGCGUGGGGAGCAAACAGG
rnacentral:rRNA from 1 species